UAAUCGGUGCUUACUGCAGCUUCUCCCUGCUUGGCUCAAGCCAUCCUCCUGCCUCAGCCUCCCAAGUAGCUGGGACCACAGACACAUAUCACCCCACUGC